rnacentral:tRNA from 1 species
GUGGGUGUAACUCAGUUGGUAGAGUAUUUGCUUCCCAAGCAAACUGUCGCCGGUUCGAAUCCGGUCACCCGCU